GUGCUCAUUUCAGCAGCACAUAUACUAAAAUUGGAGCAAUACUGAGAAGAUUAGCAUGGCCCAUGCACAAGGAUGACAUGCAAAUUCAUGAGGUAUUCCAUAUUUUU